AGCUACAGCCCAGCCAUAGAAACAUGGACAACUAUGAGCAGAUUGCACAGGGGACACAGGCAAAAGGGUACGACAGGGAACAGCAACAGUGAUGCAUGAAAGUGAAAGAAUUUCACCAGGGAUUCCACAGCAGAGAGAGCAGCAAUAGAUCUGGUGCUGCCCCAUUGACCUGCUGCUUUUACAAUGAGCUGUUGGCAGACACCCAUCCAGCACGCCGCAGCCCUGUCAAGGAACAGUGGGCAGGAAGAGGAGGGAGACGCAGCUGGGGACUCCAGCAAUGCCGCAAGCCAGGACCUGUUGACUCUUCCAGAGUCUAGCCAAUCCUCCCAGAUGAGCACAGACGAGCCUGAUGGAGGGGAACGGAGCUUGGGUUGAACUGGAAAUGCCCGUGGAACAGAAUCUUCCUGCAGUGCUUGGAGAGGAAUGACAGUCUUGUGGUAAUUAUGAGCUCUUCAGAGCAGAACCUCUCUCUUAUGAUGAGUAUAUACAGCACCUAGCAGCAC